rnacentral:tRNA from 1 species
UCCCCGGUGUCUUAGUUGGUAAAGAAUCAGCCUGCUGUGCAGGAGACCUGGGUUCAAUCCCUGGUUCGAGAA